GUAAGAGAUUGGCCGUGGAUCUAUAGUGAUCUGUGCCGUGGAUUUACCUGACUAAAAAGCAUGUAGCAAAAAUCAGUCAAAAAUAAUGAUCUCCAUGAUCAUUAUUUUUGACUGAUUUUUGUCCACCUUAUGGAGGUUAUGAAGUCGGUCAGCAGCUGAUGUACACAAGUUAAGUUAAAACGACUAACCAUAGAUUCAAAAUAAUAUAUAAUAUGCAGGAAAUAUUUUAAGAUGAUAUGGAAAUUUUGUGAAACUACCAAAUUAGGUACCUAGGUAAGUUUAAGAAAAUUACCUACUAUAAUCAAUUUCUAUAUUUUUUACUGCUUUAUAUUGGCUGAGUUGUGAGCCAAUUUGGGUACGGAUUACUAAGUCAGUAUUUUAUAGAAUAUUAAGCUUUACUUUCUUCCAAGAAAUUUUACUGGAUGAAAACAACAGGCUGGAGUACUUUUACUGGAGUCGUCGUUUAGCUGUCAUUCCCGGUCAUUAUCAAAUAAUACUUGAUACGUAGAGUCAGUCAUCAUACCAGAGUCAAAAUAUUGUCAAAUACCUUGUCCCUCCUGAGUAAAUAUGUUCCUUGCCUUGUCCUAUAAAAAGGAUGGUCUCACGCCCGGUAAUUGGCUAUUUAUUUGUUACUUAUUUUUUGUUAACUUUUAAACUUUUGAGUGCAAUAAAACCACAAUUAAGUUUUGUUUAAAGUUUGUAUUGGAUAAAAUAAAAUGGUACGCAAAUAUUUCAUACUUAAUUAGAUAUGUAAUAUUGUAAUAAUUCAUUGACACCCUAUUGACAUUUCUACCAUACGACGUACAGUAUUUACAUUAAACACAUUCUCAAAAACUUCCGAUAUUCAAUAGAAGUCGAAACACAUUUAAAUCUAAAUCUAUUUAAAUCUUUAUUAAGCUACUUAUAAAUAAAAUAAGAAUUACUUUUAAAAUUAUUUGAUGGACAUACUUAAAAUUAUGUAAUUUAAAUACAAUUUUAGGUAGGUAUGCAUAAUAACUACCUCUAUAUGUAUGAUAAUGUUAUAUUUGUGCUACAUGUACCGAAUUAGACAUAGUUACAUAAUAUUCUUAGUAAUAUAAUAUUCUAAAUAAUAUUUUUUAAGGUAUCGUACUAUUUAAAUAAUUUAUAAGGAAAUUUCUUAAUCAUUUUAUUAAAUAAUUAUACCGUCUCAUAUUACAAUCAUUCUAAUAAUCUAAUAACUAUGUACAUUUUAUUUAAAUCAAAAUAUUAUAGAACAAAAUUUAUUUAUUUUAAUUUAGAUUUAAUAUUUUAUUUUAAAUACAUAUCUAAGAGUAUCUUUUAUUAUCCUAUGUUACGAGUAAUUGAAUUUGCUGUUUUCUUGCAAAUCACAAUUUCUACCAAAUCACAUAGUGAUCAAAAAUUAAUAUCUUAAAGCAUAGUUAUAAUCGGAGACACAUUCGUAAGUACAAUAAUUUAAACAUUGUCGCUAAAAACUAUUUAAACUAGAAAUA